GGCCUUACACUUGUCAUCCUCCUGCCCCAGACUCCCACGUAGCUCUGAUUACAGGUGUGUGCUGCCAUAUUUGACUGUUGGUAUUCUAAUCCUUGAAAGAGAUGUACCAAUUUCCUCUUGAGAGAAAUCUGUAGAUAAGUUUUUAAUAUCCAUCAGUAACAAUGUUGCAUUUUCACUUACGUUAUGAUCUAAAGAAAUACGUGUAUGAUGUACAUUUAUCUGACUCACUUGAAAUGUUCCUUGUAUAGCCACAUACUUUGGGGUCCUUCUUUGUGUUAAAAUUGGGUUGGCACUACCUGAACCCUCACACAGAUGAUAUUUAACUUUUAAUGUGUUGGUAGUCAUUAUGUUUCCGUGUCCUAAUAAAAACCAUUUUGUACUGUUUGAUAAAAAUCAUAUUGAAAUUAUCUAACUAUUUUUAAAGCUAAAACUGCAGCUUUUCAGUGAGAUAAGAUGGAGUUUAGUCUUUUAAUUUCUGUAAUAAAUGGAUCUUGCUUUUCCAUCAUAAAAACAACCAUGCUACUUUAUCACAGGGUAAGCAGAAAAGAACAAGGCCGAUAUAAUAUGUAAAUGAUGCAAAUGAUGCAUUCGUGCGAAGACCAUAUGAGUCAUGGUGCCCACAGUAGUUUGAAUAGAGACACAUAGCAAAGCAGCUGAGUCAUUACUGGGCUGACAGUAGCAGAGACUAAAGUCAGAAGAAGCAGCUCACUUAUUCAGGGUCUUGUUGAAUUGCCCGGACUGACCUCACACUUUCCAUCCUCCUGCCUCAACCUCUGGAGUAAUGAGGGUGCUUAAAUCCUGUGAUACUAUUUUGCUGGCAGGUUUGGCACCUGUGAUCCUCCCCAUCUUUACACCAGAGCUUGAAUCCAUUCUUCAGGCGGCCAUCCUUUUCUUAUUAUGGUCAAGGCAGUGCUAUACCAAUGAGGCUCAUGGUGGGAGCAGUCUGUCCUCAGUAAGGAUGAAGAGGAUUUAAAAACCAACUAGAAGUUGCUUUGAGAACUGAACUACAUGCAACAAGAUACUUACGGGGAACAAGCAGAAAUCAUUUCCAUAGCUUGACUCUUAUGUGCAAGCAAUAAGAAGUAUAAAUAAACAGUCUCUUAUUUUGUGAGUUAAAACACAAGCUACUCCUUUGUGUGUCAUGUCUGUCUGAACAAUUAGAGAGCCAGGAUCCUACCAGACAACACUUCCAAACCUUUCUGAUUCAUGCUGCUGGACUGAGUGAUAAAGCUUGUUGGUUAUUCUGGUAACAAUGUGACCUCUAAGGAUUGACAAAGAGUUGACAAGCUUUCUCUUCUUAAAACCCCACAUAGCAAACAAAUGGAAGACUGAAUUGUAAGGCUUUUUGUUUGUUUGUCUGUUUACCUUGUUGGCAUUUGGAAAGAGCAC